rnacentral:rRNA from 1 species
UACGAAGGGGGCUAGCGUUGCUCGAAAUCACUGGGCGUAAAGCGCACGUAGGCGGAUCUUUAAGUCAGAGGUGAAAUCCCAAGGCUCAACCUUGGAACUGCCUUUUGAUACUGGGGAUCUCGAGUCCGGAAGAGGUGAGUGGAACUGCGAGUGUAGAGGUGAAAUUCGUAGAUAUUCGCAAGAACACCAGUGGCGAAGGCGGCUCACUGGUCCGGUACUGACGCUGAGGUGCGAAAGCGUGGGGAGCAAACAGG